rnacentral:rRNA from 1 species
AAAGCACCUUCGGGUGUGAGUAGAGUGGCGAACGGGUGAGUAACACGUGAGCAACCUGCCUCUCACUUCGGAAUAACUCAGGGAAACCUGUGCUAAUACCGGAUACUCCGUACAUUCCGCAUGCUAUGUACGGGAAAGCCUUGUGCGGUGAGAGAUGGGCUCGCGGCCCAUUAGGUAGUUGGUGGGGUAACGGCCUACCAAGCCGACGAUGGGUAGCCGGGUUGAGAGACCGACCGGCCACAUUGGGACUGAGACACGGCCCAGACUCCUACGGGAGGCAGCAGUGGGGAAUUUUGCGCAAUGGGGGAAACCCUGACGCAGCAACGCCGCGUGCGGGAUGAAGGCCUUCGGGUUGUAAACCGCUUUCAGUAGGGAAGAAAAUGACGGUACCUACAGAAGAAGCUCCGGCUAACUACGUGCCAGCAGCCGCGGUAAUACGUAGGGAGCGAGCGUUAUCCGGAUUUAUUGGGCGUAAAGCGCGCGUAGGCGGGCUAUUAAGUCAGGUGUUAAAGCCCGGGGCUCAACCCCGGCCCGCACCUGAAACUGGUAGUCUUGAGUCUGGUAGGGGAAAGUGGAAUUCCCAGUGUAGCGGUGAAAUGCGCAGAUAUUGGGAAGAACACCAGUGGCGAAGGCGGCUUUCUAGGCCACGACUGACGCUGAGGCGCGAA